GACGAACGCUGGCGGCGUGCUUAACACAUGCAAGUCGAACGGAAAGGCCUGCUUUCCCUUGUGGAUUGCGGGUACUCGAGUGGCGAACGGGUGAGUAACACGUGAGUGAUCUGCCCCCAACUUGGGUAUAAGCCUGGGAAACUGGGUCUAAUUCCCGAUAGGACUGCAGGGUGGUGCCUGUGGUGGAAAACGAUUUUCUAGUGGUUGGGGAUGAGCUCGCGGCCUAUCAGCUUGUUGGUGGGGUAAUGGCCUACCAAGGCGGCGACGGGUAGCCGGCCUGAGAGGGUGGACGGCCACAUUGGGACUGAGGUACGGCCCAGACUCCUACGGGAGGCAGCAGUGGGGAAUAUUGCACAAUGGGCGGAAGCCUGAUGCAGCGACGCCGCGUGGGGGAUGACGGCCUUCGGGUUGUAAACUCCUUUCGACCGCGAGGAAGCCACCUGGUUGGAAGGGUGGUGACGGUAGUGGUAGAAGAAACACCGGCUAACUACGU
rnacentral:rRNA from 1 species